AUUACAAGGUUACGAAUCUUAAAGAUUUCGUUAAAAUCUUUUGUAUGAAAUUAAUAAUGUGCUCAAAAAAUGAGUUCAGGCUGUUAUAUUUUUCAAGUAAGAAUCUCAAAAAACAACAUUAAGUGACAAACCUCUUUGUUUCCUACCUUGGAAGUUAGUUAUCUCUCUGAUUAUUUUUUGUUGGUGACAUUUUGUCUAUGUUCUUACACAAUUAUUCAUUUUUCAGUUUAUUUGCUGCUUCGCGAACGGACGGCCGUCUCGUCAGUAAAAUCCGAAUUUUGCGACUCAAGUGUUUCAAAUUUGUUGGUUUGUGUGUGCAAAUGGAAUGGAUUUCUCGGGAGAAAAGAAAAGAAACAAACCGGAUUAAAGGUGGGUCUAUUUAAGAAGAUGAUGCCGUGGGAGUUUUACAAAUGUGAGUGCUUUUUUUUAUUUAUUGCCAAUAAGUGGGGUGUUGAAUACUGAUAUACUGUGUAUUGGUGGUUGCAUUUUACAGGGGUAAACAAUACGUGUAAUACGUCUUAUUUAA